UAGGAAACAGGAAACAAGAUACGUAGAGUACAACUUAACUGAUAAUUUGGGAUAUACAUUGGAUACACAGUUACCUUAUCAUUUAAGGCAUUUGAGAAAGUCAAAAUAGUAAAAGCUAAUUUUUAUGAAUUUAUUCAUGAAAUUUAUUUUUAUUAAGUUAUUCUUUUAACAAUAUUUAACAAUAGUUAUUUAGUACUUAUAUGUCACAUGCCUGGUAUGGUGCUAAAUCCCAGUGAUUCAAACUUGAGUAAAGCAGACAUGUUCUUUUUCAUUGGGGAGCUUACAUUAUGAUCAGUUUAAGAUGAGCUAAAAACCUAGAUUCUCAAUAGGCUUAACUUUUUACAUGUGGUUAAACUUAAAUUUGGGUAAAUUUACAUAAGUAAAACUGUAGUUCUUAUGAAAAAGAGAGUUAAAGAUUUUUCACACUUUAAUUAUAAGAUUAGGUAAUCCACAAUUAAUUUGAUAUGUCACUAACUUGUGUAAUUUUGAGCCAUUCACUUCCUUUACCCUGGCCAGUUUCCUUGUAUGUAAUAUAAAAUAAAUGUGAUGGGAAAUCUUGAAUCCCCUAUCUGAAAAUAUUCCCUCAUUCCUCAGGGGUUCCAUUCAAAGAUUAACCUCUUACAUUUCCAUCCUUAUCCUUUUCUCUAUUUCUUUCAUCAGCAUCAGGAUAAAAGAAAGGCAGAAAGUAAUAUGAUUUCCUAUUUGCCUUGGUUAGGUGAUUUUAAACCUCAGUAUUUACACCAACUCACUUGUCUGUUCAGGUUUACCAGUGUUGAAAGUCUAGAGUGCUCUACAAAUCUCUUUGGUAGGAUUCUAUCUGCUUGGCAGAGGUGGACUGGAGAUAGCUACAGAUUCUGUCAUGUUCCCCACAUUGGGAGAUGGAGUUCAUUUCCCUUUUCUUUAAUCUAGACUUGCCUGGUGACUGCUUACCCAGCAGAACGCAGCAGAAGCAAUACUCUGCAACUCUGGGAAACUCUUUGAAAGGAUUGGCAAAAUCUGCUCCAUAUUUAUUGGAAAGUGUGUCUUGUGAUACAACACCUCUGGUCCCAGCUGCCAUACAAUGAGAAGCACAAGCCACAUGCAGCCCCAGAUAAGAUCAUGGCCAACAGCCCCAGCUAAACACUGAGUAGACAGUCAGCUAGCCUGAACUGCCAGUUAUGUGAAUGAGUCACCUUGGCUGCUUAGCUAAUCAAGUGCCUGGAUGCCUCCAGCCUCGCCUGGCACCUAAUUCUAACUACAUAAGGAAUGCUAACUCUGUCUUCAGCGUUAUCUCCACUGAUGACCGUCUUGUAGAGUGGCACUGACAACUGCAAUUGACCUCUGGCCUCAUCUCUGCCCCACAGUAUGUUUUCUCAUGUUUUCAAGUGAAUUUUGAGAAAGACUACUGAAGCAAACAUAGUUCCCUUGGUCAUCAUUCCCACAUUUGGCAGAUAAUGAUUAGAGAGUGGAACUAAGUGUCCCACACUGCUGUUUCAAUAUGUCAAGCUAAAUGGUUUCAAAAUCUCCUACGAUUCAGCUUUUGUUCAACCAAGCACAGUGGGCUGAGAACUAUGCUAGAUGUGAUUCUUCAGAAGGAAAUGGACCCCUUUUCAGUUCAUGCUGUACUAGGGCUAUUCUCCCAUUUACACAGUUGCUUCUGGCAUAAUAAAAAAUUAAUAAAUACUUUCUUACUUGUGCUUCCCUUUAUCAUUCAUUGUGUCCUUGGUGGAAAUGUACGCUUGGUAGAAAUGUCCCACCUUCCUCUUCAGCCCUAUGAAACCUAUUCAUUUGUUAAGAUUCUUCUCCAGCUUAAACCCUCCCCAGGCUUUCUCUAAAACAAGUGGGAUUAUUUCUGUCUUUUUUUUUUCUCCUGCCAUAUUUAUUACAUACAUCUAUUUUAGAUUUUAGUAGUUACCAUGCUUGACAUGUACUAAAAUUACUUUUGAACAUCUAUCUGCUUUUUAGAUUAUAAUUUGAAGUA